rnacentral:lncRNA from 10 species
GGACAGGGGUGAUGGUGGCCACCUCCCCUGAGCGUGGGGGCGCCUUGGGCUUGGUCCUGGCAGCCGGGGCUGCAGCAGGUGGUCCUGGUUGGCCUCCGAUGGCUGGGGGAUCGCUGGCCUUUCGGAAGUAGUCACUCAGCAGGUCAUCCCGGCAACUGGGAGUGUCCUACGGAGAAGAGAGUGAAGGUUGGAGGUGGGCAUGAGGGUUGGGUGGGUCCUUGGAGCCGCCUCCUGCGCGGGACGCCCCCGAGCAGCCCACGUGGCUGGGACCGCAGUUCCUGCCUGCCUUCUCCGAGGCACAUGUGCCGCCUCCACCACACACACCAGCCCUGGGCAGGAUGGUGAGGGUGGCUAAGGCAGCAUGGGACCACCAGGAAAGAACCCCAGAUUCCCCCCAGGCAACCCCCUAACUUUACAGAUAAGGAAACAGACCCAGAGAGGGAAAUGACUUCCUACAAAGUGAGUAAGUUUCCCAGAAACCUCGACUAUAGCCGACUGCUUCGGUCUGUCUGGUUUCCACCAAGCACAGCAGGAACUAGAAUGCUGGCGGAUAUGAGCAGGGCCUUCCUUCCCCGGUCACCCCGGGACAUCAUAAGGACUUCACCUUGCGCCACCGAGAGCAAGAGGAACAAGAGCAGCUCUUGAAACGCCGGAACCUUCACUGCCACUCAGACCUCUCUCUGGGCCCGAGAAAGAGAAGAGAGAGGCAGAAUGGGGAUGGGAGGGGGUGGGGGACAGAGAGGUACAAAUGGGGUCCGCGAGGGUCCAGAAGGGGGAAUGGUGGGGCUGCACAGGGAAAUGAAGACACCAGGAAGGCCCAGCCGCCACACUGUCCCUGCUAAGCUGCCGCCCGGGCUGUGCUUCCCCUGCCCAGGGAGCAGGUGUCAUUUGCCACCACCUUGGGAAUAGGCAGAGCCACAGAGGCAAGGGUCUAUGGCCCCACUCAGGAACUGCAGCCUUCUGCAAGCCUAGCUUCUCCUGAGGCUGACAUGGAUGAAGAGGAAGAGAAGUGAGUUCAUGGGGGAUGAGAGGCCGGCAGGUGUCAGCCUGAAGGCGGGUUGGUAGCUCAGGAGCCAUCUGCACCUGCCAGCAACUCCUGUCCCACACAAACAUCUGGACAUGGUGCCACUGGACAGAGAUACAUCUGCUGUUUUAUGCUAGUUUGACGCUACACAUCUUGGGUGGGCGUCCAGUAAGACCCGUGAUAUCACAGGUACCUUUCAUCACCUGUGGGGCCAUGUGCUGUUCUGGGAACCACAUGUAUAAUUGCAAAGAAACUCAUUUAAUUCUCAAAAUGACCUCGCAAGGUUGUUGAAAGGCUGUAUCAAGGUAAAGAAACAGGUCACGGAGGUUUGGCAGGCCAUGCGUCCAGAGAGGCAGACCCAGAUGAAAGCCUAUGGCUGCCUGACUCCAGAGCUGCUUUCCACUCCACCAGGCUCCUCCCUGCACACCUCAGAGCCUUUGAUACCCACCCUUCCUGGCCACGCAGGGAGCCCCAUCUUGUGACAUGCCCUCCCUGCAUCAUCGACGCCCAGAGAGUGGGGGCGCGGUGGGCAUACGGUUGUCAUUUCCCUGGGAUGGGAAGCCCCUGUGUACAUUAGGGGCCUUGUGUGUCAGGGGUACCAGGAGGGAAGUCAGGUGUGUCAGGGGUAGGGGGUUAAAUAUACCAGGCAGACAGAGGGGGCUGGCUCGCUGCAUGCCAGACAUCAGCUUUCAACAGAAGCUGCUACAGCCAGACUGUUUUGGUCUCAUUUAAGCUAAAAAUGGAAAGGUAACAGUACAGGGCACAGGGAAUGGGGACUGUGAAGACCAGUCUGAGCUGAGCAGGGAGGGGCCCCACUCCUUGCUCAGGACCUGCCUGCCAGAUCUCCAAAGGGAAAGGAAAGCAUCAUAAGGGGCAUAUAACAAAAAAAGACUGAGAAGGAAAGCCUUCCAGCUGUGGGCCCCCCCAAUUUCUGGAGUGUUCUUGUUCAGUCCAUUAGACCAGCAGUUCUUUUUUUUUUUUUUGGAGACAGAGUCUCACUGUGUUGCCCAGGCUGGAGUGCAGUGGCACAAUCUCGGUUCACUGCAACCUGAGCCUCUCGGGUUCAAGAGAUUCUCCUGCCUCAACCUCCCGAGUAGCUGGGAUCACAGGCACCCACCACCAUGACCCGGUUCAUUUUUGUAUCUUUAGUAGAGAUGGGGUUUCAUUGUAUCUUUAGUAGAGAUGGGGUUUCACUAUGUUGGCCAGGCUGGUCUCGAACGCCUGACCUCAAGUGAUCCACCCAACUCAGCCUCCCAAAGUGCUGGAAUGACAGGCAUGAGCCACCGCUUGGCCUAGACCAGUGGUUCUUUUUUUUUUUUUUUUUUUUUG